CGUGUGCAGGUCUUCUCCCUGCGCACUCGCCUCUACAUGCUCUCUACCCAGCAAGAGCACACACACACACGCUCACGUACAGAGACGUAGAUGCACGCGCCUGCGCUUAGGGAUUUGCUCUUAUCAUCGCUGUGCCUUCCGCUUUCUCUGCUCACCCUCUUCCCACGACUCUCAAGAAAUGCCGGCGAAGGCGCCGUCACAAAAUCGAGGUCUUUCUCCGCCUUCCCCAUCGCCCGCCGCCCUUCACCAACUGCGCUGCGAGAACGCGAUGCUGAAAAAGGAGAAGCAGUUCCUGACGCAAGCGGUGGCAUCGGGGCCGUCCACCUCGGCCCGCGUCAACAGCGUUCGCUACAACGCUGAUGCAGUGGAGGCGAAGCUGAUGAUGGCCUACCGGAUGGCGUCCGAGAUGCACGACGCGGAGGGCUGCAAGACCGUCGAGUUGCAAAUGCAGCAACGCGUUGCCGAAAUGCUAGCAAAGGUGGACAAGCUGCGCCAGCUGCUGGAGAUGGUUCAGAAGGAUGUGGAGGAAGUGCUGGAGGCCAGUGGUGGCUGGGACAGGCAGGCUGCCGCAUAGCGAGUCAUGCGCUGUCGUCGUGUGCUGUUGCAGGGCUGCACAGGGCGUGAGAGAGAGAGCGAUGAACAGCGGAAAUUGCCCUUGGGAAAGCAGAAGAGACGAUCUCAGUAGUGUGUCUUGUGUUAGUGCUCGAUUUGUGUAAGCCGUAGAAGCCGCCCCGCACGCGCGCGCCUGUCUGCGAGCCCUCACACCCUUCCUCCCCUCCGCGAUGACCCUAUCUCGAUUGGCAUUUCUCUGGUGUGUUUCUCUCGUGUACACUAUCAAGUUCCCUUUGCUGUUUUGUUUCGUGAUUCCCAGCGGACUUCAGCGGACUGCAAUGGCGGGCUCUGAAAGAAAAGGCGGAGGCGAGAAGCGCAGCACGAGAAGAAUAGAAACGUUUCGCAUGAGAAUCCACGUCCUCUUUCUCAGCCAUCUCUGAAAGAGGUGGCAAACACAAGAGAGGAUAGCGGGAUUUACUAUCUCUGCGCCCGUUGCAUCACCGGGCGCUUUCCCGCGAAUGGAACCGAUCUUUCAUGCAUGAACAGUCCCCUCCUGUGUAACUCUCUCUCAUCCUUUACUCCCCAUUCACAUGCAUACUUUCACUUUUCCCGUUCGCUCCCGUUUUUUUGUUAUGUGGUGUUUCACCAUGGCUUGUAAACCGGCCCACGUGACUCUCUCAUUCACUCCUUUCUUCCAACCUUUCUUACACCAUUGUCUUUUGCUCUGCACCUCAUGCGCUCCCUUUCACUGCGCAG
rnacentral:misc_RNA from 1 species